CUAGAUUAAUCCCCUUGGAAAUUGGGGUUUCUUGUUCUAGUGCUGAUAUGGGAUGCUUCAUGCAAGCUUCCUUUCCUUCAUAGGAGCUGGAACAAGGAGUUUACUGAAUUUAGUUCCCUAUUUAUUUUUUUUUGAAAGAUUUUCUAUUUUUAUUACUACUCUUCCUGUUUCCAGCCAACAGUCUGUUAGUAUUCUUUUCUUCCAGGAAUGUCCUUUCCAAAUUCUUGAUAAGGCAUCCAAGAGGUGUUACCUGCAUUGCAGCACAGAAGGAGGUGAUAAAGCACACGCAAACUUUGGUCUACUGACCCUGCUAUCUGGGACCAUCUCAGCUGAGCUGCUUCCUAUACCUGCUUUGUACUUCUGAGCAAUACCGAAUUGAGUGCCUACCUUCAGCCAUGCAGGUGAUCAAGUACAGCUGAUCAAAGUGGCUUGAAGUAAACAGUAAUGACAUUAUCGUGUGACUCAGAAGUACAGCUGCCCAGGCACAUGAUACAGACUUUGGCUAAUGAUCGAAGAAAGGACCCGGAGUGUGAUUGCAAGACACAGUGUCACUCUCAUCGGCAGACAACUCUCAUCUCCUUGGUGAACCAGGCCUCUCUUCUCCAUUCCCUCUACCAUGAGAUAUCCAAUAGAGCCUUUUGCAGAAUCAUGAAAGAAGCAUUCCCUAAAGAAUCACAACAAGAUCCUUCAUUGAAAGCAAAAACUUUUGGAGAUGAGAGAAAGCCUGGACUGAUAUUCACUGAAUACCCAGUUGUCUUCCUCCAUAUUGAAGCAGAGCAUUACAGCAGUCCUGGGGUGGGUGUCAAUCAGAAUAGGACCCAUAUGUAAAGAUCAGAAAAGGAUAAUAAGGUCAUAAGAACUAGGUGAUCGUGCCCUGCUCUCAAGUUCAUUGAUCAGGCAGUGAGAGUGUGGUGUGUACGUUGUUUUGGGUUUUUUUGGUUUUUUUUGUUGUUUUUUUUUUUCCUGGAUGAUGCAAUCCUAUUAAAUUAAUGCCUUUAGUUGAGUUUAGGUGGGUGGGGAUUAUGGAAACCUGUUUGAACUGGUCUCCAGCCUUUGUGAAUGCUCCAGCUCUCCUACUAAUGAUGAUUGAAUUAAUCUCUUAACAAACACAUUUGUUUUUCUAAUUCGCCUCCACACUCUUAAUUACUAUAACUUCAAACCCAACACCCAAAUAUUACAGUACAGAUGACACUUAGCAUCCCUUGCUCUUUGGAGACCUCUGAACUAUUGAGAUUCCUUCUGAAGUAAGAUUUGAAGCACAAUAACUAGGAUCUCUUUAUCAGAAACAGAAUCCAGCAAGAUAGGGCUAAGCCUAAGAAGUCUGCACCGUCUCCAAAGGAGGCAAAAUUUACUCUUCUCUUCAUAGUUUAGUGUAAAAACCAAAUCCAUCAAAUCUUUGAGAUGGGAGUCCCUAUCUCUGCUUUUUUGACGACAGUAAGCUCAUAACUGAGCUACAAAUCUGUGGUCUGAAAAUUACUCAUUUAGUACAAAGUACGUCACAAACUUCAUUUCCUUCUGCAUCUGACAGAUUAUCAGGCAUUAUGCAAGUAGACAGAUUCUUCAGUGUGCCUGCAUCCCUUAUUCCCCACUACAGUUCCCUUGACAAACUUUUCUUGGAAAAACUUCUUGGAAGUUUUCUGAGGGUGCAAUUUCCAUUUAAGGAAACAGAGUCAAGGAAGUUAGAACAUUUUCAGGAAUGUUCUGGCUUCGAUGGCAUUUUCAAACAGAAAUGAUGAAAAUAUUCCACAAGGAUUUUUAUAGGAUGCUACCAAGUUAAAAACUUUUCUACCAUUUAUCAAUAAAAUGGAAGACAAAAGUUUCAAAACAAUUUUCAGGAGAAUUGUUGAGAUUUUAACUAUAUGUGCCAUCUUUGGCAAAUUCAACAUCUUGGGAUUUCUGUUGGGAUAGAAACAUAUUUUACUGGAGAUGAAGAUAAUACCCAUAUAGUUUUAUCCAAAGGCUGUUGUAGAAAAAUACUGACUGUAGAGAUGGUCAUUAUCCUCAGUAUUGAUUGGAUCUAGUAAGGAUUGAAAAAUCUUCUGUUUCAGUUGUUGCAUAGUGGACCUGAACAAUGAGGAAGACAUUAUUUUUGGCAUUCAAAUUUUUAUUUGUCCUUUUUAAAAUUGACUAAAGGCAGAUCUGUUGUAUAUUAUAAGGACAAAGAUGUAGAGGGAAAAUAGUUUAAAACUAGUAUUAUGAGGUGGGAAAAAUAGGCUAGUAAUAAAAUCUUUCCAUUAAAAUAAAUAAUGUAAAAAAUUAAAUGUUUGAUAGAGAAAUAAAAUAAUAAAACCCGGAAACAUUAGGUAAGAUACAAUAGAUCUGGUUAGAAUCUUUUUGUGAGCAUAUUCUAAUAAACAGCCAGGCCCUCACUCAUCUGAUUGAAAAAAUUAUGACUAAUGAUUGAAAAAAGAUCAAAAUCACAUACAAGCAUACUAACAAAAGUUGAUCUGCUUUAAUCAUUCAACAAAAUUCAUGAAAAAACAUUGUAAACAACCCAAAAAUUGCAACGGAGAUGACAAAUUCAGUGGUUUAUCCAUCACCUCUGCAAAAUCUCUGUCUCGAAUGGCAAGAUCUAAUGUCAGGGACCACUAUGCCAUAUAUUAGACAAGGGAUUUUCUCUUCAUAUUCUUUGUUUUCCAUUUUUGGAUGGCAAUUUUCCGCUGCCCACUGCCAUCUUAUCAGCCAGUCAUUUAGUACAAUUAUAUCCUUACAUACAGUUUGUUAAAAUCUGUGAACAAGGUGAGACCAUCAGCAAAAUAUGUCACCUCAAAAUUCAUUCCAUUCUGAAAUGAUUUCUGAAUUCUCUGAAGGAUUUUCGGAACUUAUUGCUUAUAAACUCAUAGGAGGAUCUUCCCUCUCUUCCUAGCUUAUAUAUAUUUUUAAGAUCCUUUUGAAGAAUUUGUGCAAUAUAUCAAUCAAAUUGUAAUCCACACACAUAUCAACAAUUUCAAAGAGUUCUUCAGCGAAGCUAUACUAAUUCUUAAAUAUUUUGUCAUAUGUAUUCAUAUGACUACAAAUUCUAGUUUCCAAAAUUCAGAAAUUGAACUAAGUAAUAUAAGUGACCUUCAAUUCACUGCGUGUUUACAUGUAUCUUUUUUAAAAGUUAUAUUUGUAACUUUUUACUACUCUGAUACAGACACCAGUCUAAAUGGGGCACCAUUGUGGAAAUUUUAACAUUUUUCUUCUUAGGACAGCUAAGAGCUCUGGCAUAAAUACUAAGCAGUCCUGGCACUUUGUUGUUACUUUCUCUCUUUUUAUUUUCCCCCUAAAAUCUCUUCUACUGUUAAUUCAUCUUGAAAUUGUUCCUCAGGCUCAACCACUGCAAAGGAAGUACAUCUGCAAUGGAUUGAGCUUUUCUACUCUGGCAUUACCCCCUUGAAUACUCCUUUGUACACUUUGAACAUGAAUUGGCCCCUCUGGCUCUCUGGCAGGUUUCUGAUGUCUUUGAAAUAUAAUAUAUUAUUUAGCUGCUAGGACUUCUGUAAUAUUUUUUUUUCUCUCAAAGCUGUUUUUUCACUGUCUUAUUCCAGUUUUCUGUUUAAUGUUUUGGUGUCCCACUCCCCAGUUCAACUUCCCCAAUUUGAUCACAACUUCUAUUUUCUGAAAUUUUUCUUCAUAAUUCCCAUUAACAUGUUAAUAUAGCAUUUUUUUUUUCUUUUUACCAUUCCUUUUUAAGUCAGCCUUUUUUUGUUUGUUUGUUUUGGUUUGACUGGUUUUUUUGUUUGUUUUUGGAAGUACAUCUAUUCUUGCUACACAUUUUUAAGGAAAGCAAGCUGCAAGAUCGGAUUAUAUCAUAAUACUGUGACCUGGAAUGUUCUGCGGUGUGUGGACAUAAACACAGAAUACAAAGCUCUGUAAGAUCUUGUAGAAAAAUGCCCUCUGUUAAGAUUUUCUAUGGAUCCAGUGAUGUGAUCAAAGGCAAAUGAAAGUCAGUUGAGUAUAUCUAACUUUAUCUUGGGAGGCUGUGAGUUUAUUUUUCCUUGUUGUCCAAUUUGAUUACUACAUAGAUGAAUUUGUCUUCCCUGCUGUAUCACUGUGAUUUUAUUUAGAAAUAGUUUCCUCUACAAAGUGCUGAUAGACCCUAAAGAAAUUUUCUCAUUUUUUUCUUUAAUAAUCUUUAAAAUAUAUGUUUUUUAAAAAAAUUAUGAUCUAUGUUGUUGACAGUGUCAACUCAGUACAGAAUCUAAGAGCAACCAUAUUUUGUUUAUGGAAUAAGAUACCUGAAGAAACAAGAUCCACAGCUCAAUACACAUGCCAAAUGUCAUAACAUAGCUCUCAGAGGUAGUCGAGAGAGACCUUUUCAGAACAGAGAUGAUGAAAGGCACAUAUGAAGCUAAAAAUUUGGUAAAGUAAAAUAAGCACAUUGUAUGUUGCCUUUCAAAUAAACACUGCUGCAUCAAAGGAGCCCCCAACCCUCUCAACAAUUCCCCUCCUAACAGGAAUAACUCACUAUGCACUGACCAGGGAUUUUCUGCUCAGACCAAAGAGAGUGAGCUUUCUGAAGAUCAUUACUGUUAUUACCAUGGUGAUUAGUGUAUAUGAGCACUGUAUGAAUAACUGUCAAUAAGAAAUACUGGUCAAAAGCCUGCUUAAACCAUACUUCUUAAUUCUUAGCUCAGAAUUACAGAAAAAAAUAGCAAAAUUGGAAACUUUUAACGUCAUAUUUAUUCAUUGUUGUUCUACUGUAGUACAUUUUUCUGUGUAGUUCAAGACCAUACAAAGACUGUUGUUAAUGCUUAACACCCAUUAACACACUAACCCAUUUUACUCAAUAAUUUACCCCUCCUGCAACCAGAGAUCAGAUAUAUAUCAUGAACAUGGGCACAGAAAUAAAACACUGAUAGAUGUUCUAUGAUGAUCAGAAAGAAGUAAAAAUAGACAGAAAAGUAAAGUUAAGAAAAAAUAAAUAAGCAUGUACAUUA